rnacentral:rRNA from 1 species
UACGUAGGGUGCAAGCGUUGUUCGGAAUUACUGGGCGUAAAGGGCUCGUAGGCGGCCAACUAAGUCGGAUGUGAAAUCCCCAGGCUCAACCUGGGAACUGCAUCUGUGACUGCAUCGCUGGAGUGCGGCAGAGGGGGAUGGAAUUCCGCGUGUAGCAGUGAAAUGCGUAGAUAUGCGGAGGAACACCGAUGGCGAAGGCAAUCCCCCUGGGCCUGCACUGACGCUCAUGCACGAAGCGUGGGGAGCAACAGG